rnacentral:rRNA from 1 species
UACGUAGGGCGCAAGCGUUAAUCGGAAUUACUGGGCGUAAAGCGUGCGCAGGCGGUUAUGCAAGACAGAGGGGAAAUCCCCGGGCUCAACCUGGGAACUGCCUUUGUGACUGCAUAGCUAGAGUACGGUAGAGGGGGAUGGAAUUCCGCGUGUAGCAGUGAAAUGCGUAGAUAUGCGGAGGAACACCGAUGGCGAAGGCAAUCCCCUGGACCUGUACUGACGCUCAUGCACGAAAGCGUGGGGAGCAAACAGG